GUAGGCCUCAGAUAAU
rnacentral:rRNA from 1 species